UUAAAGCUCUGCCCUAGUUUCUAGUUCUACACAUCCCACCAUCGGUGUACUCCUCCGUAGCACUACCCGUCGAGUAAAUCUGUGUUUUGGGAAAACACAGAUUGUAGGUCUGCUCUAGUUUUCCAUCUCCCUUAUUUUCGAAUCUCAGGUUCAAUAUGAAACCAUUAAAGACUGAAGAUGAGGUGGGGUCGACUGUGAAGACUACUACCAAAUAUGCAUUCGUCGCGCCAGGUGCUAGAGGUGCUAUAGGAAAGGAAUGAGGACGAGGAGUUACUUUUGGCUCUUUUGCUACGUCUUUUAUCUCUUUGAGAUGGAUAUCAAAGUUCUUUUUGAACUGCUUCAAUAUUAUUUUAACCAGCUUGAUCAGUUAAUAUGCUGCAAAUUUUCUUGACACUUGUUAUAUCCGCUCCUUCCUUGGUAAAACUGUUACGUUACAGAGCACCAUAUAAGUUGGAUCAAGAGCACCAUCUAAACCCAUGUUUUGAUUCACUGCUCAACAAUCACAAGUCCCCCCUACGACAUCACCCGUUUCAACUGAAUGACCAUUGUUUUUGUCUGCUGACCAGUUAACUUAGUUGCAGAGAGGAAAUGGAACAAAUGGAGAGGAUACUUGCAUGCACAAUAUGUGAAAAAUAAUCCAAUCCAACAGGCUCUUAAGAAUAUGCCAAAGGGAGUAGAUAAGAAAGAAUGGGAGUGGUUAGUAAAAGAAAAUUUUACUUCAGAAAGUUUUCAGGUAUGUCUAGUGAUUUACUAGUCUAUUUCACCCAAUCAUCUGUAGCCUUAGAAGAUGAGAUGAAAGAAAUUAAGAAAAUAAAAGAAUUCUUUGUCGCUCAACAAUCAUAUACCCCGCCUACGACAUCGCCCGGUUCAACUGAAUGACCACUGUUUUUGUCUGCUAACCAAGUUAGUAAUAAUAUACCCGACUUUUUAAUUUAGUUUGUUGAUUUGCGUAUAGUCAAUUUCUAUCUUACACUAAUUCUAGCAGUUGCUUGACUUCACCACUAAUGAUGCUUGUUUCUAGCUCCGUACAUGCUCUAAAAGGUUGCUAUUGCUUCGUGAUCUGUUUGACAUGUGUGUUUGUCAUUUCUGUUUUUUACCUUGUUUCUCUAGCAUAUCAGAUCUCUUUCAGCUUAUUUGUGAUACCUGGUCAUGGUUGGGCUGUAUUUGAAAUCUAAUCUUUAAUAUAAGUGGUGAUGCCUUAAAUUCUUGUGUGCAAAAUUAAGAAGUGCAUACAGGAGUACUAAAGAGUUUUCAUUAAGUCAGUUACAGCUUUACAGUGCAAAAUAAAUGCUUUUAUUGAAGAAUUUUGAGGAAGAAUGAUAGCCUUCUUUUAUGGUUCGCGUCUGCUGCAUCUUUAAGUUCAAAGUUCGUUUAUUCUUUUAUAUAUAGUUGGUGCUACUGUUAUCCUUUUCACAGUUCCUAUAUAUUUGUGGCAAUUUUGCUUCAAAGUCUAUAACAUUUGUUGUUUGCUUCAGAUAAACAUAAUAGUAAUUUUACUAUUUAAACUUCGGUUAUAAAGAUAGCAAACAGAACCGUGAACACCCUUAGCUCUAGCUCUAAAUCUAAGGAAUUACUAUUAAUGAAAGUGGAAUUGCUGCUAUGAUGUUGGAAAAAGCUUUAUUGAAGGUAGAUAAAAAAUAAUUUUCUACCAAAUGGAAAAAGUCUUAUUGUUGUUAAAUCUUGUUGCCUAUAUAUGUGUUUCCAGUUUAGUUUUUGUAAUGCCUGGUUUGGAACCAUAAAGAGUUCAAAGUCUCACUUGAUUUUGAAUACUUCUUGAUUUACAAGAGACUUUAGUAGAAGUUUAAAAGUAUUAACACCUAUAAUCGAUGGAAUUUUUUUUAGUUGGGAACAUAUAAUAGAUGGUAUUGCCACUGGAUAAUUUUUUUGAGGCUUUGCAAGAAUACCUUAUUGUUGUUGUUUCUGAGUAAUUGCCUUAAGAAUACCUCCUGUUGUUGCUACUGCUUGCAAAUUUCCACCUGAAGCCUGAAUUUGUGAAUAGCACUAAGCUGAUCCAACUGACUAGUACCAUGUAUUUUACCACCUGUAGGAGUGCCAUCAUGUUUCUUAGUAUUGGAUUGCUUUUUACAGUGAGAACUUGCCUUUGGAGUUGCAUUAUCCUUGUGCAACUCCAGCCCUGCAGUUCUAUUGGGAUCUUGAUAUGCAAAAGAUAUGUCAACCUCCUGCUCCUUGUGCUGCUGCUUUUGUGUAUUGUCAUCAGUAUGCUAUAUGACUUUUAAUAGGUAUUUUUGUUGUUGUUUUGCAUAAACUGGUGCUGCAUCAUGUUUUAUCUAAUUUGUUACCAGCGAAUGAUAAAUGCAGUUCAGGCAGCUAGCUACUAAAGCUUAAUCAUAUGCUUCCACCAUCUCUUUCAAUCGAACUUAUGUAAAAUCACUUUCUUACUGCUUAACUGUUUGACAAGUACUCAAGGGAUUUUGUGAAACUCAUUCACUUGCAAGUUGCAAAGCUUAAAGUUCGAUAUUAAGAUCUAUGAUGAUCAAUGUGCAUUUAGAUAGUAUUAAAGAAAUCGAGAAAGUUCACAAGGAAAGUACACUUUUAACCCUAUCCUCUAUGCUUUAUUCCUUCUAUGCAAUUUAGUAGUCUUUUCCUAUCUAUGAAUAUGAAUAGGACAGAUAAACUUUCAUCUAUUCGAAGGGUGGAACUAAUAGUGUUCAUUUCGUUGAAGGUUAACUUAGUUGAUGACUUCAACAUACUACAAAAAUACACUUGAUAAGAGGAAAAAAACUUACUACACAACGCUUGUCUGAAGCCAGAUUAACUCAUCUGGUCAGUGGUCAGUUUGAUGUUACUUCAAAGUCAUGCAUCAUUCAGUUAUAUCUUGCAGAGAGAUCUGAUGAUUCGUUAUGCCAUUGGGAGAUGGCGUAGGUUUAUACUGAAUAUGUAGAAAGCAAUUUCUGAUUGAUCAGACUAAGUAGUUUUCAGUUUAGAAUUUAAACGCAGUCGCUUGUUCUGUUGUUCAUGCAACUGCAGUUUCUCUUCCCUUUUUUAUUUUGGUGCGAGUUGUUAAGACUGAUGAAAUGCUCUAUUCGGAAUUGAAGCACAUACGAAGUUGCGACAGCUUUUGCCUUGGCUCUAGGAGCCGAAAAACUAAUUUGUAUAAUAGACGGCCUAAUUCUUGAUGCGUCUAGCCGUCUGAUUCGUUUCGUAACUCUAUAAGAUGCUGAUAUGCUGGUCCGCAAAUGAGCUGAGCAAAGUGAGACUGCUGCUAAUUAUGUAAAAGCUGCUAGUCAGGAGGACUUCAAUCGUUUAGGUUACAAUGGUUCCAACGGAUCGCUCCCUUCCCAAAAUGGCAAUGGUUAUAGCCGAAGAUACAAUCCUACAUUUCAGAAUGGCAUUGGUUUUGACAAUGGUAAUGGGCUUUGGUCUACUGAACAAGGUUUUGCAAUUGGAGGACAAGAGAAACUAAGUCGGUCAUAUGGUUAUCUCUCAGAAUUAGCUGCUGCUGCUUUUGUUUGCCGAGGAGGUGUUCAAAGAGUGCACCUGCUGGAUGGCACUAUUGGUGGAGUUUUACUAAAGGAAUUGUUCCAAAGAGAUGGAGUUGGGUCAAUGGUUGCUAGGUUUUGAAGAUUGAAUUUGACAAGUCAAGAUGGAAGUUUAGAAGAUGUAGAAGCUCAUUAUUUAGCUAGGAAUGUUAUGCACUCGCUAUCUUAGUCUAUCUCGAGUGUUAAGCGAUGAUUUUUUGUUAAGGUGUCGAGCAAAUAUUGAAACUAACAUCAUGGGAUGUUAACAAUUUUAUUGUAAUUAAUAACUCUAUCUUCCUCUUUAUAUAUAUAACGCUUUUGUAUCUAGAUGUUUUAGUAGGAAUCCGAUAUUUAUUGAUAAAAUAAUUUUUUUGUGA